AAUAUAAGGUGUAACUUAGGACUUCAGAGAAAUAGUGCAUACAAUUCUUAGGCAUGUGCACCUCCAAGAAAACGUGCUAAAAAAAAAAAAAAAGAAGAAGAAGAAAAGAAAACAUUGCUUCCACUUCAUUUUGGAAGCCCGUUAAACAAGUUAUCAAUGCAAGGAUUGGAAAAGAAUGAAAAAUCAAGAAAGAACAUAGCCGCUAGUAGUUACCAUCCCAUACAACGGCAUUAAUAACUAAUCUGUAAGUAUCUUAGAAAGAAAAUCUUGGAACUGUAUAAGCUCACCCUUACCUGCGCUGAGGCCAAGAAAUGAAAAAGGGUGAUUCAAAAAUCUUCUGAAAAGGAAGAGUCCUAUUCAGAAACCCAAGGGUAAGAGGACCCGCCCACUUCCCCUGGAGGACUCGUUGCUAUGGGAACCCGCAGUAACCCUGUAAAGCCAGUAACCUACAGGGGAAGAAGAUCCUCCCCGAGGUUAAAGUUAAAACAGGGGAUCUGGCGGAGGGUUGAGUGGAGGACUGAGCUGAAGACCUUAGUAGAAAAAUGCUGACUUCCCCUAAGCAAGAAGGAAGACUGGCAGCAAACAGCCAUUGACUUGCACCUUUUGCCUGAGCCUGCAGCCUGCCUACCUACUCUGCAGAUUUUGGGGUUGCCAAGCCUCCACAAUCAUGGAUUCCAGUGUUGGAAGCAUUUUUAGCAUACAACAACAUCCAAGUGGAUUAUGAUGAAUGCCUAGACAUCUAUGGCAAACAGACUCACCUAUGAUACAGCCAUUUGCAUCAAGCUCAUGCCACUUAUUUUCAUCUUUCGAUGUAUGCCCAGGCCUGUUUGGACCUAACAUGGAAGCGUGCGGGUUGUCUGCACCCACUGGGGCAACCCUUACCUAAUUGGGAAAGAAGGUGAUGGAUCAUUAUUUCUCUUCCCUGAUCUUCAUUUACAACAAGCUUCAUUUACAACUCCAUAAUGGAUUGUUGGAUUGAAUUUCCUCCUAUCCCUGUUACAUUCUCUGUUGCCCUCACUCCUGAUCUUUGAGAGAACUUCCCGAUAAACUAUUUGCACCGAAGGCUU